rnacentral:rRNA from 1 species
GUAAGGAAUAUUGGUCAAUGGGGGCAACCCUGAACCAGCCAUGCCGCGUGAAGGAUGAAGGCGUUAUGCGUUGUAAACUUCUUUUGUAUGGGAAGAAUGACAGGGAUUUAUCCUUGGAGAGACGGUACCAUACGAAUAAGCACCGGCUAACUCCGUGCCAGCAGCCGCGGUAAUACGGAGGGUGCAAGCGUUAUCCGGAAUCACUGGGUUUAAAGGGUACGUAGGCGGUUAAUUAAGUCAGUAGUGAAAGACUGUCGCUCAACGACGGAUGUGCUAUUGAUACUGGUUAACUUGAAUCAGGAUAGAGUUGGUGGAAUGGGUCAUGUAGCGGUGAAAUGCUUAGAUAUGACUUGGAACACCGAUAGCGAAGGCAGGUGGCUGUACCUUAAUCGACGCUGAUGCACGAAAGCAUGGGGAGCAAACAGGAUUAGAAACCCGGGUAGUCC